rnacentral:rRNA from 1 species
UACGAAGGGGGCUAGCGUUGCUCGGAAUCACUGGGCGUAAAGCGCACGUAGGCGGCUUACUAAGUCAGGGGUGAAAUCCUGGAGCUCAACUCCAGAACUGCCUUUGAUACUGGUAAGCUCGAGUCCGGGAGAGGUGAGUGGAACUGCGAGUGUAGAGGUGAAAUUCGUAGAUAUUCGCAAGAACACCAGUGGCGAAGGCGGCUCACUGGCCCGGUACUGACGCUGAGGUGCGAAAGCGUGGGGAGUAAACAGG